AGUGGCGAACGGGUGAGUAACAUAUCGGAACGUAUCCAAUAAUGGGGGAUAACGAGUCGAAAGAUUCGCUAAUACCGCAUACGCCCUACGGGGGAAAGCUGGGGAUCGCAAGACCUGGCGUUAAUGGAGCGGCCGAUAUCUGAUUAGCUAGUUGGUGAGGUAAAGGCUCACCAAGGCGACGAUCAGUAGCUGGUCUGAGAGGACGACCAGCCACACUGGAACUGAGACACGGUCCAGACUCCUACGGGAGGCAGCAGUGGGGAAUUUUGGACAAUGGGCGCAAGCCUGAUCCAGCCAUUCCGCGUGAGUGAAGAAGGCCUUCGGGUCGUAAAGCUCUUUCGCAAGGGAAGAAAACUUACCCUCUAACAUAGGGCGAGGUUGACGGUACCUUGAUAAGAAGCACCGGCUAACUACGUGCCAGCAGCCGCGGUAAUACGUAGGGUGCGAGCGUUAAUCGGAAUUACUGGGCGUAAAGCGUGCGCAGGCGGUUUUGAAAGUCAGAUGUGAAAUCCCCGAGCUCAACUUGGGAACUGCGUUUGAAACUCCAAAACUCGAAUAUGUCAGAGGGGGGUAGAAUUCCACGUGUAGCAGUGAAAUGCGUAGAGAUGUGGAGGAAUACCAUUGGCGGAGGCAGCCCCCUGGGAUAAUAUUGACGCUCAUGCACGAAAGCGUGGGGAGCAAACAGGAUUAGAUACCCUGG
rnacentral:rRNA from 1 species